rnacentral:rRNA from 1 species
UUCGCAAUGCCCGAAAGGGUGACGAAGCGACGCCGCGUGCGGGAAGAAGGCCUUCGGGUUGUAAACCGCUGUCGGGAGUUAAGAAGUGCGGGGAUGUUAAUAGCGUCCUUGCUUGACUAAGGCUCCGGAGGAAGCCACGGCUAACUCUGUGCCAGCAGCCGCGGUAAUACAGAGGCGGCAAGCGUUGUUCGGAAUUAUUGGGCGUAAAGAGCACGUAGGCGGCCGCGUAAGUCGGUUGUGAAAGCCUUCCGCUCAACGGAAGGACGGCAUCCGAUACUGCAUGGCUCGAGUGCGGGAGGGGAGAGUGGAACUUCUGGUGGAGCGGUGAAAUGCGUAGAUAUCAGAAGGAACACCGGCGGCGAAGGCGACUCUCUGGUCCGAAACUGACGCUGAGUGUGCGAAAGCUAGGGGAGCAAACGGGAUUAGAUACCCCGGUAGUCCUAGCCGUAAACGAUGGGCACUAAGUAGAGGGGUUUUA